rnacentral:rRNA from 1 species
CUAACAAGGAUUCCCCUAGUAACGGCGAGUGAAGCGGGAUGAGCUCAAAUUUGUAAUCUGGCGGCCUCUGGUCGUCCGAGUUGUAGUCUGGAGAAGCGCUUUCCGCGUCGGACCGUGUACAAGUCCCUUGGAACAGGGCGUCGUAGAGGGUGAGAAUCCCGUCUUUGACACGGACUGCCGAUGCUAUGUGAUGCGCUCUCGAAGAGUCGAGUUGUUUGGGAAUGCAGCUCAAAACGGGUGGUAAAUUCCAUCUAAAGCUAAAUAUUGGCGAAAGACCGAUAGCGAACAAGUACCGUGAGGGAAAGAUGAAAAGCACUUUGGAAAGAGAGUUAAACAGUACGUGAAAUUGUUGAAAGGGAAACGCUUGAAGUCAGUCGCGUCUCUCGGGACUCAGCCUUGCUUUUGCUUGGUGUACUUCCCGGGGUGACGGGCCAGCAUCGAUUUUGACCGUCGGAGAAAGGCUUUGGGAAUGUGGCACCCUCGGGUGUGUUAUAGCCCUCGGUCGUAUGCGACGGUUGGGAUCGAGGACCGCAGCACGCCUUCACUGGCCGGGGUUCGCCCACGUAACGUGCUUAGGAUGCUGGCGUAAUGGCUUUAAGCG